GAUGAACGCUGGCGGCGUGCCUAAUACAUGCAAGUCGAGCGAACAGACGAGGAGCUUGCUCCUCUGACGUUAGCGGCGGACGGGUGAGUAACACGUGGAUAACCUACCUAUAAGACUGGGAUAACUUCGGGAAACCGGAGCUAAUACCGGAUAAUAUAUUGAACCGCAUGGUUCAAUAGUGAAAGACGGUUUUGCUGUCACUUAUAGAUGGAUCCGCGCCGCAUUAGCUAGUUGGUAAGGUAACGGCUUACCAAGGCAGCGAUGCGUAGCCGACCUGAGAGGGUGAUCGGCCACACUGGAACUGAGACACGGUCCAGACUCCUACGGGAGGCAGCAGUAGGGAAUCUUCCGCAAUGGGCGAAAGCCUGACGGAGCAACGCCGCGUGAGUGAUGAUGGUCUUCGGAUCGUAAAACUCUGUUAUUAGGGAAGAACAAAUGUGUAAGUAACUAUGCACGUCUUGACGGUACCUAAUCAGAAAGCCACGGCUAACUACGUG
rnacentral:rRNA from 1 species